rnacentral:rRNA from 1 species
GUGUCAGCAGCCGCGGUAAUACGGAGGGUGCAAGCGUUGUUCGGAAUUAUUGGGCGUAAAGGGCGUGUAGGCGGUUUGGUAAGUCAGAUGUGAAAGCCCUGGGCUUAACCCAGGAAGUGCAUUUGAAACUACCAGACUUGAGUAUGGGAGAGGAGAGUGGAAUUCCCAGUGUAGAGGUGAAAUUCGUAGAUAUUGGGAGGAACAUCCGUGGCGAAGGCGACUCUCUGGACCAAUACUGACGCUGAGACGCGAAAGCGUGGGGAGCAAACAGGAUUAGAUACCCCCGUAGUCC